rnacentral:rRNA from 1 species
CCCAGACAGCCAGGAUGUUGGCUUAGAAGCAGCCAUCAUUUAAAGAAAGCGUAAUAGCUCACUGGUCGAGUCGGCCUGCGCGGAAGAUGUAACGGGGCUAAACCAUGCACCGAAGCUGCGGCAGCGACACUGUGUGUUGUUGGGUAGGGGAGCGUUCUGUAAGCCUGUGAAGGUGGCCUGUGAGGGUUGCUGGAGGUAUCAGAAGUGCGAAUGCUGACAUAAGUAACGAUAAAGCGGGUGAAAAGCCCGCUCGCCGGAAGACCAAGGGUUCCUGUCCAACGUUAAUCGGGGCAGGGUGAGUCGACCCCUAAGGCGAGGCCGAAAGGCGUAGUCGAUGGGAAACGGGUUAAUAUUCCCGUACUUGGUGUUACUGCGAAGGGGGGACGGAGAAGGCUAUGUUGGCCGGGCGACGGUUGUCCCGGUUUAAGCGUGUAGGUGUGUGUUCCAGGUAAAUCCGGUUCACUUUAACACUGAGGCGUGACGACGAGGCACUACGGUGCUGAAGCAACAAAUGCCCUGCUUCCAGGAAAAGCCUCUAAGCAUCAGGUAACACGAAAUCGUACCCCAAACCGACACAGGUGGUCAGGUAGAGAAUACCAAGGCGCUUGA